rnacentral:rRNA from 1 species
CCUACGGGGGGCUGCAGUGGGGAAUAUUGGACAAUGGGGGCAGCCCUGAUCCAGCCAUGCCGCGUGUGUGAAGAAGGCCCUCGGGUUGUAAAGCACUUUCAGUGAGGAAGAACGCCUGGUGGUUAAUACCCAUCAGGAAAGACAUCACUCACAGAAGAAGCACCGGCUAACUCCGUGCCAGCAGCCGCGGUAAUACGGAGGGUGCGAGCGUUAAUCGGAAUUACUGGGCGUAAAGCGCGCGUAGGUGGCUUGAUAAGCCGGUUGUGAAAGCCCCGGGCUCAACCUGGGAACGGCAUCCGGAACUGUCAAGCUAGAGUGCAGGAGAGGAAGGUAGAAUUCCCGGUGUAGCGGUGAAAUGCGUAGAGAUCGGGAGGAAUACCAGUGGCGAAGGCGGCCUUCUGGACUGACACUGACACUGAGGUGCGAAAGCGUGGGUAGCAAACAGGAUUAGAUACCCGUGUAGUC